ACAUCGCAUUCUCAUCUCUCUCUCUCUCUCUCUCUCUCUCUUCUCGGUGCACCAUCUAGUCUCUUCCGGCAUCCAAUUUCUGGUAACACCUCGUGUGUUCGAUGAGCCUUGCCUUCACUGGAUCUUCGUUUGCCUCUGCGAGUGAGUCGACCUUUGUCUUCGCUACUUCGCCUUCUACGGUUUUUCUACUCGUUUGUCUCAGUAAUUUUUCAAAUUUCAUUUGAGAAAUUGAAGUAUUCGCUGUUGGAGAGGACCUCUGGCAUCGCCUGCCAUCCUCGCGGCCGAAUUGGAGCGCCGAUCUCCGACGUCGAGGACUGCUAUAUACCAAAAUCGGAUCGAAUUGGAUUGCUUCGAUUUCAGAAAUGGCUCUCGCUGUUACUUCUUCUUCGUCUUGUACUGCAAUCUCUGCUCGAACCUUUUCCUCUGACCUCAAAGGUUUUCCUGGAAGAAUUGUGCCUUUUGAGUCACUUCAAGCACUUGGAUGCCAUGUUGAUGCAGUUUGCCCCAAAGAGAAAAGCUAGCGAUGUAUGUGCAACUGCAGUCCAUGAUUUUGGAGGUGACCAAACCUACUAUUUAGUAAUGGAACUGCAGUUCAGCUCAGUUCUAAAUUUAUCGAUUGAGGAGGCCAGUGAAUGCAAACCGUUCUCGGCGAUUGGGUGAUAACGGAGGCAGUUGGCUCUCAGGCUCGUACUAUUCUAAAUCAAGGUCUUCUCCAAUCUUAUAUGUUGCUCUUAUUGUUGUGGGAGCAUUUCUUAUUCUUGCCUAUUCACACAGUGGCAAAGGUGGACUUGGUAAUAUUAGAAGGGCUACUAGCAGGGUUCAAGGGAAGUUUGGUGUUCUUUUUAUGUGACCAUGUGUACUUUUAAGAUUCUCGCUUGUGUGAAAUUGAUAAAGAGAAAGAUGUUGUUGCAGUGGAAAUUAUGUUGUAGAUGUUUGUGAAAUUAAAUCUCUUUUGGUUUAUGGGAGCGAAUUUUUGGUUGUCUUUGAAUUUGUCCUCAAGUUAUCUAAUAUGAAAAUUGUACUUGCAGGUGAUUACUCAUGCACAACAGAGGUCCAGCAAACAAUUCAUGUUUUGAAGAAAGCAUAUGGUGACAGCAUGCAUAAGAACUCUUGGCCUUUGCAUUUGUACUAGUAGAUUUUGAAAAUCAUGUGAAUUUGGAUAUUGAAGCCUCCAUGGAGCAAAAGAUCAUUUAGCCAACCAAGAAAUGUUGAAAUGAAGUCUCGUGAUGAAGGUGGCAAAAUUAUGCCUAUGGGUUUAGAGCGUCACCAUUGAAAGUUGACAGUAGCAUUACAACAUUGGCAGUAGCUUUAUACAACUAUUGUAAUAGAUUUUCAUAACUAUAGUAGUGGCUUUUGACAACUAUGGAAGUUGCUUUUCACUUAGUUAUAUCACUAUUGAACCGUGCAUACUUUUUAUACCAUUGAAUAUGUUUUCUUUUCU